rnacentral:rRNA from 1 species
CCUACGGGAGGCAGCAGUGAGGAAUAUUGGUCAAUGGACGAGAGUCUGAACCAGCCAAGUAGCGUGAAGGAUGACUGCCCUCUGGGUUGUAAACUUCUUUUACAUGGGAAUAAAACGUUCCACGUGUGGGAUUUGGUAUGUACCAUAUGAUUAAGGCUCGGCUAACUCCGUGCCAGCAGCCGCGGUAAUACGGAGGAUCCGAGCGUUAUCCGGAUUUAUUGGGUUUAAAGGGAGCGUAGGUGGAUUGUUAAGUCAGUUGUGAAAGUUUGCGGCUCAACCGUAAAAUUGCAGUUGAAACUGUCAGUCUUGAGUACAGGAGAGGUAGGCGGAAUUCGUGGUGUAGCGGUGAAAUGCUUAGAUAUCACGAAGAACACCGAUUGCGAAGGCAGUUCACUGGACUGCAACUGACGCUGAGGCUCGAAAGUGUGGGUAUCAAACAGGAUUAGAUACCCGAGUAGUC